GCCCCAGUGAAAUCGGCGCGACUAGUUAGGAGGGUAUGUAGACCACUGAAAAAGAAAGGAACGCGGACUAGGAUCUGGGAGAAAUGGACUGAUGCAAGCUACAGGCUGGAGGUAGGAUCAAACGAAGGUGAAAGAUGAGGAAAUGGAGGCUCCUAGAGGCUAAGAAGCAUAUGCAAAGUCAAGCAGCUAGUAAAACAGGGGCUGGGCCUUGAACUGGGAUUGGGAACCAUGACCCUAAAGCCAGGAAAUCCCUCAGCAGGGCAUCAUUCCUAAGGGAACUGGAGGUCACUGAGCAAGUGUUCCGGUUUGCUAAUGCUGCCGUUAUGCAAAAUACCAGAUGACUGCUAGAUGCUGCUCAGGGUCUUGCAGCUGAUACGUGGCAGAACUGGAAUUUUAGAGUCUGUCUGACUCUAUCUCAUCUUAGGAGAGAAAGAGACUACUAUUUUAGCACCAUCCUCUUCCUCCUUAACCUGAGUUUUGGAUUUGGUGAGGACUAAUACAAAUAACUUCUGGAACAGGUAUUUGUUUGUAGGACUUGACCCCACUUGUGUGAAAUUAUUUCUCUUCUCUAGAGCAGCCUUAUGGGGGAAGGAAUUGAGGCACAUGAGAAAAACUGUCACAGCAAACUCAGUUCCUCAAGGUGAUGCCGUUACUAUGUGACAGACUCAAGACUCAAAACCCAGUGUUGAUCUGCACUACACAAACAGUGAACCCUAAGUUAAACCAUGGACCAUAGCUAACAAUACCAUUAUUAAAAUGUGCUUUCAUCUCUUGUAACAAAUGUUCCACACCAAUGUAAGGUGUUAAUAAGAGGG